rnacentral:rRNA from 1 species
GACGAACGCUGGCGGCGUGCCUAAUACAUGCAAGUAGAACGCUGAAGGAGGAGCUUGCUUCUCUGGAUGAGUUGCGAACGGGUGAGUAACGCGUAGGUAACCUGCCUGGUAGCGGGGGAUAACUAUUGGAAACGAUAGCUAAUACCGCAUAAUAGUAGAUGUUGCAUGACAUUUGCUUAAAAGGUGCAAUUGCAUCACUACCAGAUAGACCUGCGUUGUAUUAGCUAGUUGGUGGGGUAACGGCUCACCAAGGCGACGAUACAUAGCCGACCUGAGAGGGUGAUCGGCCACACUGGGACUGAGACACGGCCCAGACUCCUACGGGAGGCAGCAGUAGGGAAUCUUCGGCAAUGGACGGAAGUCUGACCGAGCAACGCCGCGUGAGUGAAGAAGGUUUUCGGAUCGUAAAGCUCUGUUGUAAGAGAAGAACGAGUGUGAGAGUGGAAAGUUCACACUGUGACGGUAUCUUACCAGAAAGGGACGGCUAACUACGUG